rnacentral:rRNA from 1 species
GAUGAACGCUGGCGGCGUGCCUAAUACAUGCAAGUCGAGCGAACGGACGAGAAGCUUGCUUCUCUGAUGUUAGCGGCGGACGGGUGAGUAACACGUGGAUAACCUACCUAUAAGACUGGGAUAACUUCGGGAAACCGGAGCUAAUACCGGAUAAUAUUUUGAACCGCAUGGUUCAAAAGUGAAAGACGGUCUUGCUGUCACUUAUAGAUGGAUCCGCGCUGCAUUAGCUAGUUGGUAAGGUAACGGCUUACCAAGGCAACGAUGCAUAGCCGACCUGGGAGGGUGUCGGGCCACACUGGAACGAGGACACGGUCCAGACUCCUACGGGAGGCGGCAGUAGGGAAUCUUCCGCAAUGGGCGAAAGCCUGACGGAGCAACGCCGCGUGAGGGAUGAAGGUCUUCGGAUCGUAAAACUCUGUUAUUAGGGAAGAACAGAUGUGUAAGUAACUGUGCACAUCUUGACGGUACCUAAUCAGAAAGCCACGGCUAACUACGUG